AUGCAUUCCUGUAAUCUCAGUUACUUGGGACAUUGAGGCAGGAGGAUCAUAAGUUUAAGGUCAGCCUGAGCAAUUUAGUGAGAUCCUGUCUUAAAAAUAAGUAAACAGGGCUGUGGAUGUAGCUGAUAGUAGAGUGUACCUAGUAUGUGUGAGGCCCUAGGGUCAGUCUUCAGUUCUGAAAAAACUACAAAAAAGAACAGACAAUAUCACAUAUUUCAGAAAGGAUAAAAUUCUUACCUAAGUGCACACCUGUAAUUCCAGCAUUAAGCCAGGAGCACUGUGAAUUCAAGGCAAGCCUGACUACCUGCUUUGGGGUACCGGGGAUUGAACUCAGCACCGUGUGCUUGCCAGGCAGGCAGUUUGAAGCACCACUGAGCUACAUGCCGGGCCUCUGAAGGCAGCUUUAAACCUGUCAGGUGGAAGGCAUCAUGUGAAUAAAAGGUAAACAGGAUGAGGAAUGGAACGUAAAGGAAGUUUGUUAAAUAAUUUAUUUAUUUUUUGUACCAGGGAUCGAACUCGGGUCCUUGCGCUUGCACAGCAGGUGGGAAAACCACUGAGCUAAAUCCCUGGCCCUUUCUAAAUAAUUUUAAUGAGUUUGAGAAAUGUAUUGACUUCUGUACACUAAUUAGAACAAGACUUAAGUGAUCUGGUUCUGGGUUUCUUAGUUCUCUGAGGUUAACCUCUGGUUUUCCCGUACAUAGGCGUAGGUACAUUUGUGUUAAGAGAAAAGGAAUUAAUGUUACGAAAAGUAGGAAUGUGUGUGCUAUAGUGGUUUUUGCUUACAUAAUGUGAUUCAUGGAUGGGAAAAAUGGGAUAAAGGAAUAUUUCUUGUCUAUAAUGCCUUAAUUUGUAUUUCCUAAGCACCUUUUUAUAGGGUGCCCACAAUCUUCUUUUUUUUAAUUUUUGGUACCAGGGAUCGAACUCGGGUACUUGCCCUUUCGGAGCAGGCAGAGGAACCACUGAGCUAAAUCCCUGGCCUUACAAUCUUCUGAUAAGUAUUUUCUAGUGGACUGGAGAAAGAAUACACUAUAAUUUUUAUGUUGUCU
ensembl:lncRNA